GACGAACGCUGGCGGCGUGCUUAACACAUGCAAGUCGAACGAAGUGGCGAACGGGUGAGUAACGCGUAAUCAACCUGCCCUUCAGAGGGGGACAACAGUUGGAAACGACUGCUAAUACCGCAUACUGAAGGGGGGGAUUGCGUGGGGUUAGCUAGUUGGAGGGGGAACGGCCCACCAAGGCGAUGAUCAGUAGUCGGUUUGAGAGGAUGAACGGCCACAAUGGGACUGAGACAACGGUCAAGAUCCUACGGGGGGCAGCAGUGGGGGAACUUCCGAAAUGGACGAAAGUCUGACGGAGCAACGCCGCGUGAUGGAUGACGGGCUUCGGGUUGUAAAGCUCUGUUAAGCGGGACGCGGUACCGGAAUAGAAAGCCACGGCUAACUACGUGCCAGCAGCCGCGGUAAUUC
rnacentral:rRNA from 1 species